rnacentral:rRNA from 1 species
GACGAACGCUGGCGGCGUGCCUAAUACAUGCAAGUCGAACGAGAGCGACCGGUGCUUGCACUGGUCAAUCUAGUGGCGAACGGGUGAGUAACACGUGGGUAACCUGCCCAUCAGAGGGGGAUAACAUCCGGAAACGGAUGCUAAAACCGCAUAGGUCUUCGAGCCGCAUGGCUUGAAGAGGAAAAGAGGCGCAAGCUUCUGCUGAUGGAUGGACCCGCGGUGCAUUAGCUAGUUGGUGAGGUAACGGCUCACCAAGGCCGUGAUGCAUAGCCGACCGGAGAGGGUGAUCGGCCACAUUGGGACUGAGACACGGCCCAAACUCCUACGGGAGGCAGCAGUAGGGAAUCUUCCGCAAUGGACGCAAGUCUGACGGAGCAACGCCGCGUGAGUGAAGAAGGUUUUCGGAUCGUAAAACUCUGUUGUUAGAGAAGAACAAGUGCUAGAGUAACUGUUAGCGCCUUGACGGUAUCUAACCAGAAAGCCACGGCUAACUACGUG